rnacentral:rRNA from 1 species
UACGUAGGGGGCAAGCGUUGUCCGGAAUCAUUGGGCGUAAAGCGCGUGUAGGCGGUCCGGUAAGUCCGCUGUGAAAGUCCAGGGCUCAACCCUGGGAUGCCGGCGGAUACUGUCGGGCUAGAGUCCGGAAGAGGCGAGUGGAAUUCCCGGUGUAGCGGUGAAAUGCGCAGAUAUCGGGAGGAACACCUAUGGCGAAGGCAGCUCGCUGGGACGGUACUGACGCUGAGACGCGAAAGCGUGGGGAG